rnacentral:rRNA from 1 species
GACGAACGCUGGCGGCGCGCCUAACACAUGCAAGUCGAACGAGCGAGAGAGAGCUUGCUUUCUUGAGCGAGUGGCGAACGGGUGAGUAACGCGUGAGGAACCUGCCUCAAAGAGGGGGGCAACAGUUGGAAACGACUGCUAAUACCGCAUAAGCCCACGACCCGGCAUCGGGUUGAGGGAAAAGGAGCAAUCCGCUUUGAGAUGGCCUCGCGUCCGAUUAGCUAGUUGGUGAGGUAACGGCCCACCAAGGCGACGAUCGGUAGCCGGACUGAGAGGUUGAACGGCCACAUUGGGACUGAGACACGGCCCAGACUCCUACGGGAGGCAGCAGUGGGGAAUAUUGCACAAUGGGGGAAACCCUGAUGCAGCGACGCCGCGUGGAGGAAGAAGGUCUUCGGAUUGUAAACUCCUGUUGUUGAGGAAGAUAAUGACGGUACUCAACAAGGAAGUGACGGCUAACUACGUG